rnacentral:rRNA from 1 species
GACGUAGGGGGCCAGCGUUGUUCGGAAUUACUGGGUGUAAAGGGUUCGUAGGCGGUGUGGCAAGUCGGGAGUGAAAUCUCUGGGCUCAACUCAGAGACUGCUUCCGAAACUGCUGUGCUGGAGUGUGGGAGAGGCGCGUGGAAUUCCUGGUGUAGCGGUGAAAUGCGCAGAUAUCAGGAGGAACACCAAUUGCGAAGGCAGCUCGCUGGGACGUUACUGACGCUGAGACGCGAAAGCGUGGGGAGCAAACAGG